CCCCUCAGCUGGAGGAAUAGGAAAAAGUUCAUUAGGAACAAUAUGCAUUUUACAGAGGAUCUGUACUGCAAUAUGAAAUACUUCGUAUUAGUAUUAUGGCAAACAGAUAGAAUCAGAGACCAUCCAAUGUCCUGCUCUGUGGGAGGAACACCAGAAGGACAAGAAUCUCCUUGCUGCAGACUGUAUGACAACUACUGA
rnacentral:lncRNA from 1 species